AGACGCAAGAUAGACCAUGUUAAACACUCCUUGAUAAGGGAUUAAACCAACUGGAUCCUCUCCUAAUGUCUUUGGUUGGGGCGACCGCGGGGAAACAAAAAACCCCCACGUGGAACGGGAGCACCCCCUCCUACAACUAAGAGCUCCUGCUCUAGUUAACAGAAUUUCUGACCAAUAAGAUCCGGCAGCGCCGAUCAACGAACCGAGUUACUCUAGGGAUAACAGCGCAAUCCCCUUUUAGAGCCCAUAUCGACAAGGGGGUUUACGACCUCGAUGUUGGAUCAGGGCAUCCUAAUGGUGCAGCCGCUAUUAAG
rnacentral:rRNA from 1 species